GCUGAGAUAGCUCAGUCGGUUGAGCAUGAGACUCUUAAUCUCUGGGUUGUGGGUUCGAGUCCCACAUUGAGCA